UGACAAAACAAAAUGGAAGCAUAAUGAAUUUGCCAGUUACUAAAGUAGCCAUGGUGAUUCAGAUGAACGGAAAACUUCAAGAAUUCCGGCAACCCAUUACCGCCGGCGAUAUCCUUAUCCAAAAUCCUGAUUUCUUCCUUUGUAGCUCAGAAGCCAUGAAUGUCGAUUCAUUAGUUCCUCAAUUAGCCAAAGAUGAAAUCUUGCAGCUUGGUCAGCUUUAUUUUCUUUUGCCGGUUUCUAAAUUACAAACCCCACUUUCACUUCAAGAUAUGUGUUUACUUGCUGUUAAAGCAAGCACAGCUCUUAAUGACUAUUGUAAUUUGUCCAAUAUAGUAACAAGAAAAUUCAAAAAAAUGCACGAUUGUCAUAUUAAGAAUUUGAACCUGAGACCUCAAGUUUACGAGUCACCUUUACCUCUACAGUAGUAAAAGUUCUUCUUUCCGGAUUCAAAAUUUAUAUAUGCGUCUUGA
rnacentral:misc_RNA from 1 species